ensembl:lincRNA
AAUCAAAGUUCAUGGAAAAUUUUAAAAAAAAUUUUGUAUCAGAAGACACGAUCAACAGAGUAAAAAGACGGCUACUACAAUGGGAGAACAUAUUUGCAAAUCCAAUAUCUGAUAAGGGAGUCCUGUAAAACGACCCAGUUAAAAAACAAAGGACUCGAACAGACCUGUGUCCAGGGCAGACACACAGACAUCCCACAGCACAUGAGAAGACGCCCCACCACUCAUCAGUAGCGCAAGGCAGACCACACCCACUAAGAUACCACCGCACCCCCAUUAGGAGGGCCGCUCGAAAAAGUAAGUGUGGGCCCCGGAGGGAGCCUGGUUCUUUAUCCGUUCGCUUCUGACAUGUCCCGUCACUCUGAGCCUCUUGUACUGUCCGUACACGGAGAUCUCAGGCUUAUCUGCUGCCUCCCCUGCCCACGCCCUAGUGUCCGUGUCUCUCCAGGGAGGCCGGUUCCGUAGGUUGGGGACGGGCAUCUGGAAACCAAACCUGGGUUUCAGCAGGGUCUGAGCCCUGCCCUUCACGGCCGCAUGCCCCGGGCUCCACCCCAGCCCUGCCUGCUGCCGCUUCUUGAUGGACUGCUGAGCGAGGGUCCUGAUGGACUGCUGAGCGAGGGAAGGACAUGAGGAGGGUCUGUUCAUUCCUUCUUGUAUUUUGGCUUCACAUGCUUUUUUGAAAACGUCACCGAGCCGUCCACAGGCUCAAGCUGUGUGUGUCAUUCCUAGGAACUGUUCCUUUGCUACGACUGACGCAUUCAUGAUCCCCGGGACCUUGCGGACUUCUCCCAGAGCCGGCCGGUCUGAUGUGCGGGAGCCGCAGCCUCCGCUCACGUCUGAUUUGCAGGCAUCUCCAGUCCCAGAGAGAAGCAUCAGGAUUUCAGAGGGCCCAGGGCCCAGCCGGGGCGGCGAUCGGCCUCAGAGUAGGGCUGCCUUUACCUUUGUGGGGGCGGGGGUCUCUCGGACAAUAAACAUAAAGAAAAAAUCUCGUUACCGCCCAACCGGAGAUGUGAGUCUUACCGUCCUCGCUCGGUGCUGGCGCCCAUCACAGGGGCUGAGCGCGGGAUUUGCAGCCUCUUGUCUGGGACCUAGUCUGACCUCUGACCCCCGCGCCUUUGGCGAGGCUCCCCGGGAAAACAGAAUAUUGCUCUCGGUUACAUCUUCUGCCUAAACAGACUCUACAAGCCGUUCUGCAUCCACUUCACCCAAUGUAGCAUGACCUUUUUUCUCUUUGUUUUUAAGAUCGGUUUAUUCGAGAGAGAGAGAGCCCACGUGGGAGGGACAGAGGGAGAGGGAGAAGCAGGCUCCCCGCUGAGCACAGAGCCCAACCUUGAGACCUUGACCUAAGCCGAAACCAAGGAUGGACACUUAAGUGGCGGUGCCACCCAGGCGCCCCCUCCGGCGUUACGUAAUGAACACUUUUCAGUGACACGAAAUGCCCUUGAAACACACAUCAACUGCUUUGGCCAUGGUGGUCCCCACCUUCCUCAGAGCUGCCCGAAAACUCCAACCUCCCCCGAACGUCUUGGAAGGCGGAGGGGCCCCGCUGUCCCACCGCUGGAAAGACCAAACAUGACACUUUCCGUGAGCUCUUAGGCUCAGAAUGCAGCCGUGGCCUCACGUGGAGAAUCCCGUGGUGGUACACCGUCG